CGCGCGACCGGGUCAUGCAGGUGCAGGCUGGCCGGUCGCUUCCCGCCCUCCAGCCACCCGCAGCUCCCCGGCAGGCGGAGGGCGGCCGCACGGGUGUGGGCCGGGAGAGGGAGGUGGCUCGGCUGGAGCGCGCCGUCCGCCCGACCCCCGCCGCCUCUCGGGCGCCUGCGCUCACGCUGCGGGGCCCAGCGCAUUGUGAGCCGGGUAGGGCUCCAAGCUGGCAGCGUCUGAGAGCUGUCCUGGGCCGGAGGUGGCGCGACCCCUGUGCGGCCUAGAGUGGGCCUGGGAUGCCUCAGCACUAAUGAUCGUGAUCAGAGACCCCGAGUUCUUUCUACGCUUCGCAACACAUAGCACAAAUGGAAUAUGUGUUGACACACCCCUCUGAAGCUAAGAUCUUUGAUAUUAAGACCCUGACUUUUUUCCCUUUCAUUCUUCCGAACCCUCUGUGUACUUUGAGCAGCACUGUGGUUGAUUAAUAAAUCAUCAAAUGUGAAAGG
rnacentral:antisense_RNA from 1 species